UACAGAGGGUGCGAGCGUUAAUCGGAAUUACUGGGCGUAAAGAGUGCGUAGGUGGUUUGAUAAGUUGGGUGUGAAAGCCCUGGGCUCAACCCAGGAACUGCAUCCAAUACUGUCAUGCUAGAGUACAGUAGAGGAAAGUGGAAUUUCCGGUGUAGCGGUGAAAUGCGUAGAUAUCGGAAGGAACAUCAGUGGCGAAGGCGACUUUCUGGACUGAUACUGACACUGAGGCACGAAAGCGUGGGUAGCAAACAGG
rnacentral:rRNA from 1 species